CGAGCGGAACGAGUUAUCUGAACCUUCGGGGGACGAUAACGGCGUCGAGCGGCGGACGGGUGAGUAAUGCCUAGGAAAUUGCCCUGAUGUGGGGGAUAACCAUUGGAAACGAUGGCUAAUACCGCAUAAUGCCUACGGGCCAAAGAGGGGGACCUUCGGGCCUCUCGCGUCAGGAUAUGCCUAGGUGGGAUUAGCUAGUUGGUGAGGUAAUGGCUCACCAAGGCGACGAUCCCUAGCUGGUCUGAGAGGAUGAUCAGCCACACUGGAACUGAGACACGGUCCAGACUCCUACGGGAGGCAGCAGUGGGGAAUAUUGCACAAUGGGCGCAAGCCUGAUGCAGCCAUGCCGCGUGUGUGAAGAAGGCCUUCGGGUUGUAAAGCACUUUCAGUCGUGAGGAAGGUAGUGUAGUUAAUAGCUGCAUUAUUUGACGUUAGCGACAGAAGAAGCACCGGCUAACUCCGUGCCAGCAGCCGCGGUAAUACGGAGGGUGCGAGCGUUAAUCGGAAUUACUGGGCGUAAAGCGCAUGCAGGUGGUUUGUUAAGUCAGAUGUGAAAGCCCGGGGCUCAACCUCGGAAUUGCAUUUGAAACUGGCAGACUAGAGUACUGUAGAGGGGGGUAGAAUUUCAGGUGUAGCGGUGAAAUGCGUAGAGAUCUGAAGGAAUACCGGUGGCGAAGGCGGCCCCCUGGACAGAUACUGACACUCAGAUGCGAAAGCGUGGGGAGCAAACAGGAUUAGAUACCCUGGUAGUCCACGCCGUAAACGAUGUCUACUUGGAGGUUGUGGCCUUGAGCCGUGGCUUUCGGAGCUAACGCGUUAAGUAGACCGCCUGGGGAGUACGGUCGCAAGA
rnacentral:rRNA from 1 species